GACGAACGCUGGCGGCGUGCCUAAUACAUGCAAGUCGAACGAGUGGCGGACGGGUGAGUAACACGUGGGAACCUACCCAUCAGAGGGGGAUAACACUUGGAAACAGGUGCUAAUACCGCAUAUUGAUGGAUGGCCCCGCGGUGCAUUAGCUAGUAGGUGGGGUAACGGCUCACCUAGGCGACGAUCCCUAGCUGGUCUGAGAGGAUGACCAGCCACACUGGGACUGAGACACGGUCCAGACUCCUACGGGAGGCAGCAGUGGGGAAUAUUGCACAAUGGGCGCAAGCCUGAUGCAGCCAGGCCGCGUGUGUGAAGAAGGCCUUCGGGUUGUAAAGCACUUUCAGCGGGGAGGCGUUACCCGCAGAAGAAGCACCGGCUAACUCCGUGCCAGCAGCCGCGGUAAUUC
rnacentral:rRNA from 1 species